CCCGCCCGCCCCGCCCGCCCCGCCUGCCAGGACCCGGGCCCGGGCAGCUGCAGCCCCAGGUCACCGCCAAGCCCGCCCUGGGUGUCCAUCAGCAACCGGGGGCAUGCAGAGCUCUGGGCAUCGUGACACCCACACCCACGCAUACCACGUGGCUACCUGUACCUUAGGGAACGCGGCUUGGAGGGCCAAUCGAUUCCUUGGCAGCUAUGGGAUCCAUCCUGAGCGUGGCAGAGGCCCAGCCUGACAUGUCGACUUCGCAUCCCAACACUGGAGGCAGAGCAGGAGGACCAGGAGGUCAAGGUCAGCCUCUACAUAGUUUCUGGAAAAUGUGAGACCCUGCCUCAAACAAACAAAAAGAGGAAAAGAGAAAAAGACCCCCGAUGUUCAUCUGGUAUGUGGUCUAGGGAAGCCAUCUUGCCAAGCCUGCUGUCGCCCUGGCUCCACCCACACACUGCAAGGAAAACAGAACAAAAGUUUACUUUGUAUCAUUAAAUAUUGGGGCCAGUGAGAGCGCUCAGAAGGUAGAGGUGCUUUCUUCCAAGCCUGACAGCCUGGGUGGCUCCCUGAGACCCACGUGGUGAACAGAGAGACCCAGCUGAGAGACCCAGCUCUAACUAAUUGUCCUCUGAUUUCCACACACACAGAAACUGAUAAAGAAAAUGUCACUUAAAUUUUGUUUUAAUUUUUAGAUUUAUUUGUAUUUUCUGUGUAUGAAUGCUUUGCCUGCAUACCUGAUGCCCUCAGACAUCCAAAGAGGGCAUCGGGUCCCCUGGAGCUGGAGUCACAAACAAUUGAGAGCCAACAUGCAGGUGCUGGGAAUCGAACCUGGGUCCUCUGGAACAGUUGUUAAUUAAUGAGCCAGCUCUCUGAAGACUGAUUUUAAAGUAUCUUUGUUUGUGGUAGGGGCUUGCUCUGUAGACCAGGCUGGCCUCUUGCCUCUUCCACUUAGGCCAGCUAAAGGCCAUCCUCUUCCCUCUCCUGGUCCCCCAGGCUCACCCACUCCUUCCCUGAUCAGUUCUUUUGUUUUGUUUUGUUUUGUUUUUCGAGACAGGGUUUCUCUGUGUAGCCUUGGCUGUCCUGGAACUCACUUUGUAGACCAGGCUGGCCUUGAACUCAGAAAUCUGCCUGCCUCUGCCUCCCAAGUGCUGGGACUAAAGGCGUGCGCCACCACCGCCCGGCUCCCUGCUCAGUUCUAACAUGGCCCCUUCUCCUGGCGUUACAGCACAGCAUGCCAACUUGGAGUCAGGAUCUCCAUGGCUGGCCUAGCUCUUUCUUUGCUAUUUGUGCCCAUUCAUCCUAGGCUGCCUCAAGCUGUUGCCUGAUGAAUUUACCUCCUUCUUAGUCUGGCCCUGUGGGAGUCCUUCAGAAGGUGGCUCAGUCCCCCUACCCUGCCUCAAGAUGGAGUCAGUCUAGUGGGAAGCCAGAGCUCUAUUCUGGAAGACCCUGUCCUAAAAAAGUGCCCCAGGCUACAGCUUUACCUCACUCCCCCGAGUAGCUGGAAAGAAACCCAUAAUGAGGCCCUAUUUCUUGAGUACUGAGAAUUGGGAUGGGAGUUUGGGGCUAGCAGGCAGGCUUCCUUUGUCUGUGAUGGGUGCCUGGGUCCCCUGAGAGACUGGGGGAGCUCUCAGCACAGCUCUGACCAGCUCCCUGGCUUUCCUUCAGGCACCAGCCCAGGCUGACUCACUGGAAGGAGCCUGGCCACAUGCUGAUGCUAUUUAUAGAUGCCAGGCCAGGCUCUAGGCAUCAGGAGCCACUGAAGACAACCUUAGUUCCUGUCUCCCUCUUGCAGUAGCGCCUGUGUGGGGACACUGUACUCUGCCCUGCCUUGCUGAACUGGGCAAAUCCGCAGGAACUGGGACUCAGGGACUUGAGACGAGUCAGCCUGCACUGCAUUCUGAAGCGCUAGUCUGUCUGUCAUGUCCCACACACCCAUUGCCUCUUUUAAAAGCCAUGCCUUGUCCCCAGCAGCAGAGGUGGAUGAGGAAAGGCCUUUAAGAGGGUGGAUCAGCCUGUAAAGUACGUACUUGCAAACACACAGAGUAUGGAUUCUCAGAACCCACACCCAAAGCUAGCGGGGUGGCUCAAUCCUGCUGUGGUAGCAUGGGGAGGGGCUGAGACAGGAGGAUUCCUGCUGACCCAGUGGUCUAGAUAAAUCUUCCACUCCAUGAUACUGACACUGUGUCUUAAAAACCAAGGUGAGGCUUGGGGUUGGUUCAGCAGUUACAACACUGCCUGCUUUUGCAGAGGACACAAGGUUUUUUGUUUUUUUGGGUUUUUUUGUUUUUUGUUUUUCGAGACAGGGUUUCUCUGUAUAGCCUUGGCUGUCCUGGAACUCACUCUGUAGACCAGGUUGGCCUCGAACUCAGAAAUCCGCCUGCCACUGCCUCCCGAGUGCUGGGAUUAAAGGUGAGGACACAGGUUUAAUUCCCAGCCCCCACUUGGUGGCUCACAAACUAUCUGUAACUCCAGUUCCAGAGGAUCUGAUGCCCUCUUCUGGCUUCCACAGGCACUGUGUGCAUACACACACACACACACACACACACACACACACACACACACACACACACACCAGCCAAACAAAGAAACCCCCAUGGGCUGGCACUCUGGAGCCCAGUAUUUUGUUGUUUGUUAGUUUGAGAUAGCAUGUCACCAUACAGCCCUCAGCAGCCUGGCCUCUGUGGAGAUCAGAUAUGAUGCUGUCUUCUGGUCUCCUAGAGAACUAGAGACCCAUGUGGUGCAAAACAUCCAUUCAAAAAAAACAAAUAAAUAAAUAGUUUAAAUCUU